GAUGAACGCUGGCGGAAUGCUUUACACAUGCAAGUCGAACGGCAGCACGGACUUCGGUCUGGUGGCGAGUGCGAACGGGUGAGUAAUGUAUCGGAACGUGCCCAGUCGUGGGGGAUAACGUAGUGAAAAUUACGCUAAUACCGCAUACGAUCUAUGGAUGAAAGCGGGGGAUCGCAAGACCUCGCGCGAUUGGAGCGGCCGAUAUCAGAUUAGGUAGUUGGUGGGGUAAAGGCCCACCAAGCCAACGAUCUGUAGCUGGUCUGAGAGGACGACCAGCCACACUGGAACUGAGACACGGUCCAGACUCCUACGGGAGGCAGCAGUGGGGAAUUUUGGACAAUGGGCGAAAGCCUGAUCCAGCCAUUCCGCGUGCAGGAUGAAGGCCCUCGGGUUGUAAACUGCUUUUGUACAGAACGAAAAGGUUUCUACUAAUACUAGGAGCUCAUGACGGUACUGUAAGAAUAAGCACCGGCUAACUACGUGCCAGCAGCCGCAGUAA
rnacentral:rRNA from 1 species